UUCGAACGAGAGAGAGUGAAAGAGGGAUUUCUGAAAGUCAGGGAUUUUGUAAUAUUAGAUUUAUUAUAAUUUUUAUAAAUGACCUAUGAGAGCGCUUUUACCAUGAAAGCGCUUUCAUAGAUGUGAGACUGAGACCUAUAAGAGCGCUUUUACCUUAAAAGCGCUUUCAUAAGUCUGAAACCCAUGAGACCUAUAAGAGCGCUUUUACCUCAAAAGCGCUUUCAUAAGUGUGAAACCCAUGAGACCUAUAAGAGCGCUUUUACCUUAAAAGCG
rnacentral:lncRNA from 1 species